rnacentral:rRNA from 1 species
GGUAGGAAUACCCGCUGAACUUAAGCAUAUCAAUAAGCGGAGGAAAAGAAACCAACAGGGAUUGCCCCAGUAACGGCGAGUGAAGCGGCAACAGCUCAAAUUUGAAAUCUGGCCCCUAGGGUCCGAGUUGUAAUUUGUAGAGGAUGCUUUUGGUGAGGUGCCGCCCGAGUUCCCUGGAACGGGACGCCACAGAGGGUGAGAGCCCCGUCUGGCUGGCCACCGAGCCUCUGUAAAGCUCCUUCGACGAGUCGAGUAGUUUGGGAAUGCUGCUCAAAAUGGGAGGUAUAUGUCUUCUAAAGCUAAAUAUUGGCCAGAGACCGAUAGCGCACAAGUAGAGUGAUCGAAAGAUGAAAAGCACCUUGAAAAGAGGGUUAAACAGUACGUGAAAUUGUUGAAAGGGAAGCGCUUGUGACCAGACUUGGGCGCGGCGAAUCAUCCGGGGUUCUCUCCGGUGCACUUCGCCGUGUUCAGGCCAGCAUCAGUUCGGCGCGGGGGAAAAAGGCUUCGGGAACGUGGCUGCUCCGGCAGUGUUAUAGCCCGUUGCAUAAUACCCUGCGCUGGACUGAGGACCGCGCAUCUGCAAGGAUGCUGGCGUAAUGGUCACCAGCGACCCGUCUUGA